rnacentral:rRNA from 1 species
AUUGAACGCUGGCGGCAUGCCUUACACAUGCAAGUCGAACGGCAGCGCGGGGCAACCUGGCGGCGAGUGGCGAACGGGUGAGUAAUAUAUCGGAACGUACCCUGGAGUGGGGAGUAACGUAGCGAAAGUUAACGCUAAUACCGCAUACGAUCUAAGGAUGAAAGUAGGGGCGUUCGCAAGAACCUCAUGCUCCUGGAGCGGCCGAUAUCUGAUUAGCUAGUUGGAGGGUUAAAAGGACCUACCAAGGCUUCGACCAGUAGCUGGUCUGAGAGGACGACCAGCCACACUGGAACUGAGACACGGUCCAGACUCCUACGGGAGGCAGCA